CUGUGCUGUGGGCUCAGAGGCAGAGCUCUGGGGUGUCUCCACCAUGGCCUGGACCCCUCUCCUGCUCCCCCUCCUCACUCUCUGCACAGGUGC
rnacentral:pre_miRNA from 1 species